rnacentral:tRNA from 1 species
CAAGAAAUAGUUUUAUAAAAAUAUUAAUUUUGGGAAUUAAAGAUAAAGAUAGAUUCUUUUUUCUUGA